rnacentral:rRNA from 1 species
UACGUAGGGGGCAAGCGUUGUCCGGAUUUAUUGGGCGUAAAGAGCGUGUAGGCGGCCAUGUAGGUCCGUUGUGAAAACUCGAGGCUCAACCUCGAGACGCCGAUGGAAACCAUGUGGCUAGAGUCCGGAAGAGGAGAGUGGAAUUCCUGGUGUAGCGGCGAAAUGCGCAGAUAUCAGGAAGAACACCCGUGGCGAAGGCGGCUCUCUGGGACGGUACUGACGCUGAGACGCGAAAGCGUGGGGAGCGAACAGG